rnacentral:rRNA from 1 species
UACGGAGGGUGCAAGCGUUAUCCGGAUUCACUGGGUUUAAAGGGUGCGUAGGUGGGUUGGUAAGUCAGUGGUGAAAUCUCCAGGCUUAACUUGGAAACUGCCAUUGAUACUAUCAAUCUUGAAUACCGUGGAGGUCAGCGGAAUAUGUCAUGUAGCGGUGAAAUGCUUAGAUAUGACAUAGAACACCAAUUGCGAAGGCAGCUGGCUACACGAAUAUUGACACUGAUGCACGAAAGCGUGGGGAUCAAAACAGGG